CUAGCUGGAUUGAAUCGGUACGGAAAUCAUACAAACAAAUAGUGGUAAAACCGCGUGGUUCGUAUAGUAAUUACAAAAGGAAUGGUUGGGAAUUAUACGCUUCACAAAGGUAUUCCGCAUUCAAUAAAGAAGGAGAAUAACAGGUUAGAGAACCACUGGGACUAAUCACCUCAAGCUAGUACAACUGAUCUAUCCAUAUGAAGAAAAGGAUAGCAUGCUUGCUUACAGAAUGUAUUUUAAUGGACUUCACUGAUGCCCUGUCCGAUUUCAUAAUUCCUCCGUAUAGUGUCUUCAGCGAUUUUGUUGGUA